rnacentral:rRNA from 1 species
CCUACGGGAGGCAGCAGUGAGGAAUAUUGGUCAAUGGACGAGAGUCUGAACCAGCCAAGUAGCGUGAAGGAUGACUGCCCUAUGGGUUGUAAACUUCUUUUAUAAAGGAAUAAAACGAGGCACGUGUGCCUUUUUGCAUGUACUUUAUGAAUAAGGAUCGGCUAACUCCGUGCCAGCAGCCGCGGUAAUACGGAGGAUCCGAGCGUUAUCCGGAUUUAUUGGGUUUAAAGGGAGCGUAGAUGGGUUGUUAAGUCAGUUGUGAAAGUUUGCGGCGCAACCGUAAAAUUGCAAUUGAUACUGGCAGUCGUGAGUACAGUUGAGGUAGGCGGAAUUCGUGGUGUAGCGGUGAAAUGCUUAGAUAUCACGAAGAACCCCGAUUGCGAAGGCAGCUUACUAAACUGUGACUGACAUUGAUGCUCGAAAGUGUGGGUAUCAAACAGGAUUAGAUACCCUUGUAGUC